rnacentral:rRNA from 1 species
UUAGAGUUUGAUCAUGGCUCAGGAUGAACGCUGGCGGCGUGCCUAAUACAUGCAAGUCGAGCGAACGGACGAGAAGCUUGCUUCUCUGAUGUUAGCGGCGGACGGGUGAGUAACACGUGGAUAACCUACCUAUAAGACUGGGAUAACUUCGGGAAACCGGAGCUAAUACCGGAUAAUAUUCUGAACCGCAUGGUUCAAAAGUGAAAGACGGUCUUGCUGUCACUUAUAGAUGGAUCCGCGCUGCAUUAGCUAGUUGGUAAGGUAACGGCUUACCAAGGCAACGAUGCAUAGCCGACCUGAGAGGGUGAUCGGCCACACUGGAACUGAGACACGGUCCAGACUCCUACGGGAGGCAGCAGUAGGGAAUCUUCCGCAAUGGGCGAAAGCCUGACGGAGCAACGCCGCGUGAGUGAUGAAGGUCUUCGGAUCGUAAAACUCUGUUAUUAGGGAAGAACAUAUGUGUAAGUAACUGUGCACAUCUUGACGGUACCUAAUCAGAAAGCCACGGCUAACUACGUGCCAGCAGCCGCGGUAAUACGUAGGUGGCAAGCGUUAUCCGGAAUUAUUGGGCGUAAAGCGCGCGUAGGCGGUUUUUUAAGUCUGAUGUGAAAGCCCACGGCUCAACCGUGGAGGGUCAUUGGAAACUGGAAAACUUGAGUGCAGAAGAGGAAAGUGGAAUUCCAUGUGUAGCGGUGAAAUGCGCAGAGAUAUGGAGGAACACCAGUGGCGAAGGCGACUUUCUGGUCUGUAACUGACGCUGAUGUGCGAAAGCGUGGGGAUCAAACAGGAUUAGAUACCCUGGUAGUCCACGCCGUAAACGAUGAGUGCUAAGUGUUAGGGGGUUUCCGCCCCUUAGUGCUGCAGCUAACGCAUUAAGCACUCCGCCUGGGGAGUACGACCGCAAGGUUGAAACUCAAAGGAAUUGACGGGGACCCGCACAAGCGGUGGAGCAUGUGGUUUAAUUCGAAGCAACGCGAAGAACCUUACCAAAUCUUGACAUCCUUUGACAACUCUAGAGAUAGAGCCUUCCCCUUCGGGGGACAAAGUGACAGGUGGUGCAUGGUUGUCGUCAGCUCGUGUCGUGAGAUGUUGGGUUAAGUCCCGCAACGAGCGCAACCCUUAAGCUUAGUUGCCAUCAUUAAGUUGGGCACUCUAAGUUGACUGCCGGUGACAAACCGGAGGAAGGUGGGGAUGACGUCAAAUCAUCAUGCCCCUUAUGAUUUGGGCUACACACGUGCUACAAUGGACAAUACAAAGGGCAGCGAAACCGCGAGGUCAAGCAAAUCCCAUAAAGUUGUUCUCAGUUCGGAUUGUAGUCUGCA